rnacentral:rRNA from 1 species
GACGAACGCUGGCGGCGUGCCUAAUACAUGCAAGUUGAGCGCUGAAGGUUGGUCCUUGUACCAACUGGAUGAGCAGCGAACGGGUGAGUAACGCGUGGGGAAUCUGCCUUUGAGCGGGGGACAACAUUUGGAAACGAAUGCUAAUACCGCAUAAAAACUUUAAACACAAGUUUUAAGUUUGAAAGAUGCAAUUGCAUCACUCAAAGAUGAUCCCGCGUUGUAUUAGCUAGUUGGUGAGGUAAAGGCUCACCAAGGCGAUGACACAUAGCCGACCUGAGAGGGUGAUCGGCCACAUUGGGACUGAGACACGGCCCAAACUCCUACGGGAGGCAGCAGUAGGGAAUCUUCGGCAAUGGACGAAAGUCUGACCGAGCAACGCCGCGUGAGUGAAGAAGGUUUUCGGAUCGUAAAACUCUGUUGGUAGAGAAGAACGUUGGUGAGAGUGGAAAGCUCAUCAAGUGACGGUAACUACCCAGAAAGGGACGGCUAACUACGUG